rnacentral:tRNA from 1 species
GGGCUCGUGGUCUAGUUGGUUAUGACACCGCCUUCACACGGCGGAGGUCAUGCGUUCGAAUCGCAUCGAGCCCAC